rnacentral:rRNA from 1 species
CGUAGGGUGCGAGCGUUAAUCGGAAUUACUGGGCGUAAAGUGUGCGCAGGUGGCUGAGCAAGUCGAGUGUGAAAUCCCCGGGCUUAACUUGGGAAUUGCGCUCGAAACUACUUGGCUCGAGUGUGGCAGAGGAAGGUGGAAUUCCAGGUGUAGCGGUGAAAUGCGUAGAGAUCUGGAGGAACACCGAUGGCGAAGGCAGCCUUCUGGGCCAACACUGACGCUCAUGCACGAAAGCGUGGGGAGCAAACAGGAUUAGAUACCCUGGUAGUCCACGCCCUAAACGAUGAUGACUAGUUGUUGGGGGAGUUAAAUCCCUUAGUAACGCAGCUAACGCGUGAAGUCAUCCCGCCUGGGGAGUACGGUCGCAAGAUUA